rnacentral:rRNA from 1 species
GGCAGCACGGGAGCAAUCCUGGUGGCGAGUGGCGAACGGGUGAGUAAUACAUCGUGAACGUGCCCUGUAGUGGGGGAUAACUAGUCGAAAGACUAGCUAAUACCGCAUACGACCUGAGGGUGAAAGUGGGGGACCGCAAGGCCUCAUGCUAUAGGAGCGGCCGAUGUCUGAUUAGCUAGUUGGUGGGGUAAAGGCCUACCAAGGCGACGAUCAGUAGCUGGUCUGAGAGGACGAUCAGCCACACUGGGACUGAGACACGGCCCAGACUCCUACGGGAGGCAGCAGUGGGGAAUUUUGGACAAUGGGGGCAACCCUGAUCCAGCAAUGCCGCGUGUGUGAAGAAGGCCUUCGGGUUGUAAAGCACUUUUGUCCGGGAAGAAAUCGCACCUGAUAAUACCGGGUGUGGAUGACGGUACCGGAAGAAUAAGGACCGGCUAACUACGUGCCAGCAGCCGCGGUAAUACGUACGGUCCAAGCGUUAAUCGGAAUUACUGGGCGUAAAGCGUGCGCACGCGGUUGUGCAAGACCGAUGUGAAAUCCCCGGGCUUACCUGGGAAUUGCAUUGGUGACUGCACGGCUAGAUGUGUCAGAGGGGGGUAGAAUUCCACGUGUAGAAUGAAGUGCGUAGAGAUGUGGAGGAAUACCGAUAGCGAACGCAGCCACCUGGGAUAACACUGACGCUCAUGCACGAGAUCGCGCGGAGCAUACAUGAUUAGAUACCCUGGUAGUCCACGCCCUAAACGAUUUCGACUACCUGUUGGGGAUUCAUUUCCUUAGUAACGUAGCUCACGCGUGAAGUUGACCGCCUGGGGAGUACGGUCGCAAGAUUAAUACUCAACUGAAUUGACUGGC